GGGCCAUGGGGCGGGCGGAGGCGCCCGAGUCCCGCUUCCCUUGCGCUCUUCCACCCCCGGCCGUGCUCAGCCCGCGGCUACCUGCGCCCCACCCCUGCCGGCCACGCCCGAGCCCAGCGCCGCGAGCCUCUCCCCGGCGGGCUGGCUCCUGGCCCCGGAAGCGGGAGCGUUCACUUCUCUGUGAGUGGCUGCGUCUCCGCGGACAGAACGCGCGCCCCCUGGCCCAGCCCGCGAGGGGCUCCCGGCGUGGUCCCCGAGCGUUUCCCGCCGGGUGGAGCGGGCCGAGCCCGGCAGGAUGACCAGCCCCGCGGCCGCGCAAAGCCGGGAGAUCGACUGUUUGAGCCCGGAAGCUCAGAGGCUGGCGGAGGCCCGGCUCGCUGCAAAACGGGCGGCCCGCGCGGAGGCUCGUGAGAUCCGCAUGAAGGAGCUGGAGCGGCAGCAGAAGGAGGAAGACAGUGAGCGCUACUCUCGUAGAUCCAGAAGAAACACAUCGGCUUCUGAUGAAGACGAGCGCAUGUCAGUGGGUAGUCGUGGAAGCCUGAGGGUAGAAGACAGACCAGAAAAAGAUUUUACUGAGAAGGGGUCUCGUAAUAUGCCAGGCCUGUCUGCAGCCACGCUGGCCUCUCUGGGUGGGACUUCCUCUCGGAGAGGAAGCGGAGACACCUCCAUCUCCAUCGACACCGAGGCGUCCAUCAGGGAAAUCAAGGACUCUCUAGCGGAAGUUGAAGAGAAAUAUAAGAAGGCUAUGGUUUCCAAUGCUCAGCUAGACAAUGAGAAGACAAACUUCAUGUACCAGGUUGAUACCCUCAAAGAUAUGUUGCUGGAGCUUGAAGAACAGCUGGCUGAAUCUAGGCGGCAGUACGAAGAGAAAAACAAAGAAUUUGAAAGGGAAAAACACGCCCACAGUAUACUGCAGUUUCAGUUUGCGGAAGUCAAGGAGGCCCUGAAGCAAAGAGAGGAAAUGCUCGAGAAACAUGGAAUAAUCCUAAAUUCAGAAAUAGCUACCAAUGGAGAGACUUCCGACACUCUCAAUAAUUUUGGAUACCAAGGUCCUAGCAAGAUGACGAAAGAAGAGUUAAAUGCCCUCAAGUCGACAGGGGAUGGGACCCUAGGAAGAGCCAGUGAAGUGGAGGUGAAAAAUGAAAUCGUGGCGAAUGUGGGGAAAAGAGAAAUCUUGCACAAUACUGAGAAAGAACAACACACAGAGGACACACUGAAAGACUGUGUGGACAUAGAGGUAUUCCCUGCUGGUGAGAAUACCGAGGACCAGAAAUCCUCUGAAGACACUGCCCCAUUCCUAGGAACCUUAGCAGGUGCUACAUAUGAGGAACAGGUUCAAAACCAAAUUCUAGAGAGCACUUCUCUCCCUGAAAACACAGCACAGGCUGAGUCAGAUGAGGUCAUGGGUGCACCAGAUGACAGGACCAGAACUCCCCUUGAGCCAUCCAGCUGUUGGAAUGACUUAGAUGGCGGGAACCACACAGGGAAUGUGGGAGAGGCAGCGGCGACUCAGGUUGGAGAGCAGGCAGGCACAGUGGCCUCAUGUCCUUUAGGGCAUGGUGAUGACACAGUUUAUCAUGAUGACAAAUGUACAGUAGAGGUUCCCCAAGAGUUAGAGACAAGCACAGGGCAUGGUUUAGAGAAAGAAUUCACCAACCUGGAAGCAGCUGAGCCCAAGGAGGUUCCAGUGCAGAGUACAGAAGUAGGUAGGGAUCACAACGAAGAAGAGGGUGAAGAAACAGUAUUAAGGGAUGAGAAACCAAUCAAGACAGAAGUUCCUGGUUCUCCAGCAGGAACUGAGAUCAAUGGUCAGGAAGCGACAGGUCCAAGUACAGUAGACACUCAAAGUGAAUCCUUAGAUAUGAAAGAGCCUGAGGAAGAAAAGAAUGACCAACAGGGAGAGGCGUUGGACUCAUCGCAGAAGAAGACAAAGAACAAGAAAAAGAAAAACAAGAAGAAAAAAUGCCCAGUACCUGUAGAAACCCUUAAAGAUGUUAAAAAAGAGUUAACUUAUCAGAACACAGAUUUAAGUGAAAUUAAGGAAGAAGAGCAGGUAAAGUCUACUGACAGAAAGUCCGCAGUGGAAGCCCAAAACGAGGCGCCUGAAAAUCCAAAACAGAAAAUUGCGGCAGAAAGCAGUGAAAACGCUGAUUGUCCGGAGAAUCCUAAAAUUAAGUUGGCUGGAAAACUUGACCAAGAAGGCGAUGAUGUAAAAACAGCAGCUGAGGUGGUACUAGCUGAUGGAGACACAUUAGAUUUUGAGGAUGACACAGUUCAAUCAUUAGGCCCGAGGGCUGGUGGUGAAGAGUUAGAUGACGGUGUUGCAAGAGAUAAUGCUAAAACAGACGGUGCCACUCAGAGCAGUCCCGCAGAACCAGAGAGCGAAGACGCAGAUAGCUGCACACUGCCCGAAAAUGAAAGUCCCUCACAGGACGUUAGUGAUGCCUGUGAAGCAGAAAGUACAGAGAGCUGUGGGAUGUCAGAACAUCCGAGUCAGACCGUCAGGAAGGCUUUAGACAGCAAUAGCCUAGAAAACGAUGACUUGUCGGCACCGGGAGGAGAGCCGGGAGACUUCAAUCCAGAAAGCAGAGAAGAUACCAGAGGAGGGAAUGAGAAGGGCAAAAGCAAAGAAGACUGUACCAUGUCCUAAGCUGAGGCAGGCGGCAGGUGUGGUGCACAGGAAGUCUUGAGUGUAAGGGGCUCUUUUCUCCACUGCCAAUGUAAGUAGAAUGUUAUAAAUUCAUAGAGAUUCACUGUAUGCCAAUCACCAGGUGGUCUACUGCUUUAAGUUAUAGACUGUUACUUGUAGAUUUCCAUGUAAUCAUUGAGGUUAUCACCCAGAUUAGAAAGACAUAUUUGUUAUCAGUGUAUGUUCUCAUUGAGAGCAUUCCAGUAGUAUCAAACAAUAAUGUCUACUGUUUAAAGUCCACUUAAUAAAAAUAGAAGCAUUUACCAUUUGCCUUAGGCUGAUAGGAAUAUGGAUAUUCUUGACCAAAUAUAUCAGCAUCUAAUUGAAAUGACCAAAUAGCAUUCUUAGACUUAUGUAUUAUGAAUAUAAUUGAUAUUUAAAUUAAUGUCUUGUUCACAUAUGUGUAUUUUCAUAUUUGAUUUUAAAAUGUACAUUAUAACCUGUAUGGUAUUUUAUUUAAAGGGGAUAAACAGCCAAAUAGCAAAUAGGUCACUGAAUGAUAAGAUUUGCACCUUAGAACAAUAGUCAUUGUAAGGAUAACAAGUAAACAUCUGAAAGCAGGAGGGGCUUUAUUUGCCUUCACCUCAUAUAAGUCUUUGAUCUUGAACCAAUGCUUUUGGAUCUCAUUGUUGAUAUACCUGAAUUUACUCUGUAGGAGAUUUUAACUUCAUGCUGAUGAUGUAUCAAUUUCAUUUUAUAGAAAGAUUUAAAGUUUUUUUCUGGUAGUGAUAUAUGUCAAAUUACAUUUCCUACUGCAGUAUUUGAGCAGGGACAGUCAUUUUUUAAAUGUUUUUGGCUGGGCUCGGUGGCUCACACCUGUAAUCUCAGCACGUUGGGAGGCCGAGGCAAGUGGAUCACCUGAGGUCAGGAGUUUGAGGCCAGCCUGGCCAACAUGGUGAAACCCUGUACUAAAAAUACAAAAACUUGGCCAGGCGUGGUGGUGGGUGCCUGUAAUCCCCGCAAUUCUGGAGGCUGAGGCCGGAGAAUCGCUUGAACCCACGAGGCAGAAAUUGCAGUGAGCCGAGAGCAAGCCAUUGUACUCCAGCCUGGACAACAAGAGCGAAACUCUGUCUAAAAAAAAAACACAAAACAGUGUUUUCACGCCUGUAACCCUAGCACACUGGGAAGCCAAGAUGGGAGGAUCACUUGAGGCCAGGAGUUCAAGGCUGCAGUGAGCUAUGAUUGCACCGCUGUACUCUAGCCUGGAAGACAGAGUGAGACCCUGUCUCUUAAAAAACAAAAACAAAAAAAAAAAAGAUUUUGAACCGUGAAAUUAUUUCUCUUUGUUUGAAUUUCUAAUCAUCAUUCAAAAGAGCAGUAAAAAAAGGUUACUUGUUCUUGUACAAACUACCAAUUAGACUACAGUAGAAUAUUUUAAAGAGCUGAAUCACUUUUGGUAUUUUGGUAUAAAUAUUUUCAUUUGUUAUGUCCCAGUAUAUUCUUAUUGGAAAAUUCUUGUUUUGAUCUGCCGGAAGAAAAUAUCUGUUUUCUAUAUAAACAAACAUUUAAAAAAUAAUUGUAAAGUUAGAUUUAAAAUUGUAAAAUAUAAAAUCACAAAGGAAUGUACCUUAUGAAUGGUGUCAACAUUUUAUGAAAUUAUGUGGGUUCAUAUUACUGUUACAAGAUAGAAUUGAAUGCAAAAAGACCAAAACCUCAAUAAAAUUUGAGGAAAACGUAAGUGUUAUUAUGUAAUUGAAAUAAAAACAUUUUAUAAUUGUACAAGACUGUGGUUGCACUCUUUGGGCUGCUUGGAGUCUGGGUCUGACUACUGUUGUAUGUAAUACCACCUCUCCAGUAAUACCUGCUUGCGGGUUGCUGAUUCCCAUUGGGGUCCUGUGGAAGACCCACACCUGAUGCCCGUCCUCAGUAAGGAAUGCACUUCCCUCCUGGCAUCGAGCCUGGGGCUAGCAUGAGCAUUACUGGGAGAAUUGAGACGAUCGUCCCGCACCAUCUCCUGUGAUCUGUGGUUCUAAUGUGCAGCCUCAGUUGAAAACGGUCUUCAUCUGUUGCUGUGCUUGAAUGCACCAAUACUUAGAAUGUUUUGAAGAGUAUGAUGAACAUGGAAAAAACCUUGACUGUUUCUGCUCAAGUGUCCUGAAGUGGAGGAUGGUAGGGGUGAUAAAUGCUUGCUAGGAAAUCAAGUCCACGGGCUCUAUAGGACUUCACAGGGUUUUAGUGUAUGUCUCUAACUUUAGCAAAGCUGCCUUCAUAUUGGAAUGCAUACUGGAAACAGCUCUCAUUCCUACCUGUAAAGGGCUCUUGGAAAGCAGUUCAACAACCAAGGUCACUAAAUGGUGAGAUCAUCAAGCCCUUUUAAGAUCUUUCCCAUGUUAUUCACCAGCACCCUGCAGGACGUUGGGCACACGUCACAUCCCUCAGCUCAGCCAUCCAGCCAUCUCAGUGAUUCACCACUCAUUUGUUUAAUUAAUAAACAGGUUUGAUCACUUUGUACACGGAAGGCACUGUACCAUUGAACAAGUGGCUAGGACCCAGCCCUCCAGUAGGGAAUGGGCAGCUGAAAAUCCAUGAGCAAAAAAGAAGGAAAAAGAAAGACUUCUGAGCAGCCAAGCCAUUUCUUGAUGAUUUCAGAGCCUUCAUUCUGAGCAUCAGUUAUCUGCUCUCCAGUGUAAUGACUUUAUAGCCAAGCACAGUAAUUGAUACUACUGUGAAGGCUCUUAACUUACCAAGAAAUGGUUGAGGCCGGGCACAUUGGCUCAUGCCUAUAAUCCCAGCACUUUGGGAGGCCGAGGUAGGUGGAUCACUUGAGCCCAGGAGUUCAAGCCCAGCCUGGGCAACAUGGUGAAAGCCCAUCUCUACAAAAAAAAUACACAAUUAGCCAGGCAUGGUGGCAUGUGCAUGUAGUCCCAGCUACUUAGGAGGCAGAGGUGGGAGAAGCAUCUGAGCCUGGGGGUCGAGGCUGCAGUGAGUGGUGAUCACACCACUGCACUCCAGCCUGGGCAAUGGAGUGAAACCCUGUCUCAAAAAAAAGGAACGAAAGAAAAGAAAAAGAAAGUUGACUUAGCUAUACUCCAUGUAAGAAGGUAUAGAAAUAUAUAGGGCAAUUUAGAAAGAUUAUAGCAUCAAAAGAUUCAAACUCAGAAACGAAUCAAAAGGUUGCCUUCCAGCCAUAUCCCCAGAGGAACCUAGAGAAAAACAUUGGUUAGUGACACCUGAAAUCAAAAAGCAUGGAUAUUUUUCAGUCCCAAACCCGAACAUAGCUCCCGUAUAUAAAUGUAAAUCUUCCUUCAAAAGUAGAAUUAAGUAUAAUUAUGGGUGUCUGUCAAAAAUACAGAGGAAGAUGGAUUUUGAAUUAUAGGUUGUUACACAAAGGUUGGACAGCAAUCAAGUUUUUUAAACAGUUUUCAAGAAUGACCUUAAAAGAGAUGUAUGACCUUGAUCACUUUCCAUAGUUUUUAAUAUUUGCAGUUAACAGAAGACCUAAUGACCUGACACUUAAGUUUCCACUAUCACUAGGACCCUGAAUGCUAAUUCUGGGGAGUUUAGAUGGUUUGGGGUUCCUGUUUUCUAUUGAUAGACUCCCCUUCUGGGAGACCACCCCCAACCCUGUACAACAUGCCACCCAUGGCCACCCGCCAAGGGAACACAACAGUAGGAUUUGUUCCAAACGUCUGGGCCCCUAAGGGAAACGGAGGGGUGUUUGUGUGUGCAUGUAUUAUGUUCAGAAUAUGUACUUGUUCAGUGUGAUAGUUGUACAUGGAGAAAACUUUGUCUUUCAAGAGGAAAAUCCUUUUGUUCUCUUUGUCCCUAUCUACUGCCUCUCAAAUAUUUUUCAACAUGUGAAUGGCUGGUGGCUCAUACAGGGAAACAUUUCCCAAUUAUGCAGACAUUAUAAGUCUACCAGUGAUGUGCCACUAUUUAUUCAACAAAUUAGACUUGGUGGUUUUUAACGCUGUGAAAACUAGUACUCUUAUUUUCUUCAUGUCAAAUUAUUUUCCUUCAUUUCUUUUUCUGUUUUCUUCAAACUCUCGUUCUUGUCUUCUUCUCCAAGUCUCCUUUAAAAUUUCUCUUCCUUAAAAGUUUUUUCUCUCUCUAUUUUUAAUAUUCUCACUAUACAACUCAAUGUCAGUUUACCUAUAUCGAUUUUGCUUGCACUUUUAUUACAUUUUGACAGUUACUUUCUAGUGCUUUUCUAGAAUAUUUGAAGUUUUCUAGAAGAAAACAAUAACAAUUUACUAUAGAUACUUGAGCUUCGAGAUCACAUUCUGAUAUAUUCAGUGUUUCUUACGGUGCCUGUGGUUUUUGUAUAUAGGAGUAUUAAAACGUAAGAAAAUGAAUAGUGAUACUGGACAAAAGAAUCAGGUUUAUAACUGCAAAAAUGUUUUGUUUCAGUGUUGGGUGGGUUACAGGAGGGAAAGAGUAAAACAUCUGUCAGAAGUAAUUUGACUGUAAUUUAAAAUAGAACUCAAAAGGAUGAUAAAUUUAAUUUAUAUUGUGCUUAACAUUAUCUGGUGUUUUACUGUACCUUUCAAAACAACAACUUAGGGUCUUCGGAAAACAUAAUUAGAGAAAAAUGUAACUUGGAUUAGCAUGUGGCUAGAUGAUUUUUUAAGUGAAAAUGAAGAUGCAUUUUAUAUGAAUUGUUUUCUUUUCACAUGGCUGAUCAAGGUUAGUUUUUCAUUCUGCGAAGAAUCUGGAGGUAGGCUGCGUGAGAGCAGCGUCCCAGUGGGCUAAGAGCUUUGAGUCAGGGUCUGACUCAGAGGUGUGAGUUUAGAUCUGGAAAAAUAGUGGGUGCAGUGCUUAGGGGCAUGUUCCUGUGGUUGGGCUGCAAGGCCUUAAGAAAAUUGCUUAGUGGUUCUGGGCCUCUGAGCCUCAUCUAUAGAAGGAGGCUGUAAUGAAGCCCAUCCGUGGGGCUUCCAGGGCUGAAACAGGCUAACAACGUCAAAGCUGCUAGAACUGAACCUGUGGCGGAGUGAGUGUGCAGCAUACGUUAUCACUGUCAUCACUCCAGCAUUCUGACUGUGCCUUUACACUAGUGUGGGAUUUUGCCCAAACCUCUAAACCUCCCCAAGCUGUGGUUUCCCCUACCCCGUCCAAAGACUGUAGUACUUGACCCUCCUUCAGAGAGAUGUUUGGGUAAUUCAUAGACACUUAACAUUUAUGCAUCUUUAUAUAUCGGGAGUGGGAGGAAUUACAGACACUUAAACCAUUACUGCCUUCUCCCUCAAAAGAGUAACACCUUUGAUAACUGGGUUAGCAGAGGUGUUAGUGGACUUAGGGUUGUAAACAGAUAGUCGCAGCACUGACAUCGAUGAGUCUAUGAGAGACAUUAGAAAUAAAUAAAUCUGGGAUGUAAACUCGGAAAGGCGAGGCUGUUCAAAAUGUUGGUGCUAUUGAACUGUAAUUCUCCGUGUUUGUACAUUGCUAAUGAUGUUAAACCAUGAAGCCUGUGAGAUCUUGUGUUGCAGCGUGGUUUGGCCCUAGCGUUCUUGCAUGCUAACCUAAGGUAGAAGAUUAGCAGCCUGUUUGCAUGCAGCCGGAUGCUGCCCCUGACGUGAAGCAUGUUCUGGGAGGUUGACCCAACCCCCCUUGGCUGAAUUCUUCCCCCGUCCUGUCUGUGGCCUCAUUCACCGUGAUAUUAGGUUGAAAAAGCUGGUUGAUGAACGGGAAUGCUUAUUGGAACAGAUUAAGAAACUCAAAGGGCAGCUGGAGGAGAGACAGAAGAUUGGCAAACUAGACAAUCUUCGAUCUGAAGAUGAUGUCUUGGAAAACGGGACAGACAUGCAUGUAAUGGACCUACAAAGGGAUGCCAACAGACAGAUCAGCGACCUCAAAUUUAAACUUGCAAAAUCUGAGCAAGAGAUAACUGCAUUAGAACAAAAUGUAAUAAGGUUAGAAAGUCAAGUAUCACGUUACAAAUCAGCGGCUGAAAAUGCAGAAAAAAUAGAAGAUGAACUUAAGGCGGAAAAACGGAAACUCCAAAGAGAGCUCCGCUCUGCAUUGGAUAAAACAGAAGAGCUCGAGGUGAGCAACGGCCACUUAGUGAAGCGUCUGGAAAAAAUGAAAGCAAAUCGGAGUGCACUGUUGUCCCAGCAGUAAAUUCCAGCUCUGAACAGGCAACUGGUUGGUGACUGGAGAGCAUUGUUUCAUAGGCUUUUCUCUGUCCUGUCUGGGAGCACUGCUUCUUCCCCUGCCUCCUGAGAGAAGAAGACUGCGGCAAGCUUGGCACUUAGGGGCUCCCAUGCCAUGGCUCACCCGAGGAAGCCCCAGCAGCCACCAGGUGCCUCUGUGCGCAGACCCCUGGCCCGGGCUGGGGCCGACGCUCAGAACCUGCGGGUACUUCAUAAGCACAUGGGGGCCUCGAGGGAGCUCUGUGUCUGACCGCACAGCAGCCUCUGAAUGCCACUGGAAAUGGUGAUCAAAGUAAAGAUUCAGUUGGGACUUGAGUUCUUUUUUUUUUCAUGUGUCUUGCUGAAGAUUAAGGGGAAAUGUUACAGUGUUGGGACUUCCUUUCAUGGCAGAAUCUACAAUUUGAGCGACUUCAGUAGUAUCUCUUAGUCUACGCUUUUCAUACACAAAACACUGUGGAACCACAAGCCAUUACCAAGCAAAACUCUUUCACUGGAAACAAGGGGGCAGUCUAGUAGUAAAAGUGACCUUAAGAAGACUCUUUACAGGCAACAAAUGAAGAUUUUCUAAGGGAUUUUUGCAUCAGUUCAGUCAUAGGAAUACUUUUUUCCAGGGUAAUUAGGCAAAGCUUCACUGAAAAUGACAGCUUUUCAUUUGCAUUAUUUAAUCCUUAUAUUUGGAAUUGAAGUUGUUAACUUCUUUUAAAGAAUGUACUAUUAGAAAAAUUAAAAGUGAAAUGUUGAGAGACUUCA